GGAUUAGAUACCCUAGUAUAUAUACUAGAUUUAUAAUUAAUAUUUUUUUGAAAAUUAACAAUUUUGGCGGUUGAUUGUUUAUUUAGAGGAGCUUGUUAGUAUUAAGAAAUAACUCUUUAUAUUAAAUUAUGUUUGAGUCUAUUCAUCUCCGUUAGUAAGUAAAGCUUAAAUUAAGUUAAUUUAAUAUUUCAGGUCAAGAUGUAGCAAUAGAUAGAUAUAUAAUUAGCUACAAUUAAAAAUUAAUGGAUUUUAUUAUGAAUUUUAUUUCUAAGGAAAUUGAAUUUAAUUGUAAUAUUAAUUAAAAUUUUAUUAUGAAUAAUAAUACUUUUAAUGUAUAUAUUGCCCGUCACUUCUAUUAUGUUGGUAGAAUAAGUCGUAACAAAGUA
rnacentral:rRNA from 1 species